GGAUAGCUCAGGUGGUUAGAGUGAGCAAGGGGAUAGUGCUCAUAACGCUGAGGUUGCAGGUUCGAUCCCUAUAUGGUACA